rnacentral:rRNA from 1 species
CACGGGGGGAGCAAGCGUUGUUCGGAAUCACUGGGCGUAAAGGGUGCGUAGGCGGGUCUUUAAGUCAGGGGUGAAAUCCUGGAGCUCAACUCCAGAACUGCCUUUGAUACUGAAGAUCUUGAGUUCGGGAGAGGUGAGUGGAACUGCGAGUGUAGAGGUGAAAUUCGUAGAUAUUCGCAAGAACACCAGUGGCGAAGGCGGAGCUCACUGGCCCGAUACCUGACGCUGAGGCACGAAAGGCGUGGGGAAGCAAACAGGG